UACGGAGGGUGCGAGCGUUAAUCGGAAUUACUGGGCGUAAAGGGUGCGUAGGUGGUUUGAUAAGUUAUCUGUGAAAGCCCUGGGCUCAACCUGGGAAGGUCAGAUAAAACUGUUGGACUCGAGUACAGGAGAGGGCAGUGGAAUUUCCGGCGUAGCGGUGAAAUGCGUAGAGAUCGGAAGGAACACCGGUGGCGAAGGCGGCUGCCUGGCCUGAUACUGACACUGAGGCACGAAAGCGUGGGGAGCAAACAGG
rnacentral:rRNA from 1 species